AAUCUAUCAUCAAUCCUAGGUUUUCUCCGCCUUUGAUUAUAUUUUUCUGUUCAUGUUCCUGAGUUUUUGGAAUUGAUAUUUCGGUUGUUAGGGUUUGUGCUUUUGAGGCUUAUUCAUAAUUGGUUUCGUUUCUCCUUCUUCGAUUAUGUCGGUAGUUUAGGUUUCUUCGAGCAUGGACUUUGAUUUAUGAUUGCAUAAUCUCUCAUGGAGUCCUGAUCUUCUACUUGAUUGUCCACUUCAUACGAUUUGAUGUUAGGAGUUUUUAAGUUUAAUCUCUUGGUGAUUUUGGAUUCUACUCUACUGUAGCUUUAUGUGGUCCAUUGCUUUCGGAUUUCAUUAACAAUAACGGUGCUUUUCGGCUAUGAUGAUGCAGGUCCCGUUUUUGUUUUUAUCAACUGAAGAAUGUCCAAUUACCAAGGGGACGAUGCUGAGUAUAUGGAUGAUGUUGAUGAUGAAAUGGAAGAUGUUGAUGAUGAUUUCGAUGAGGAUUUUCGUGGCGAUGAUCUGGCUGAAUCUGAUUCCGAUGUCGACGAGUUUGACUACUCU
rnacentral:lncRNA from 1 species